GAUAAACGCUGGCGGCGUGCCUAACACAUGCAAGUCGAACGCCCUUUUGCGCAAGUGAGAGGGAGUGGCGGACGGGUGAGUACCACGUGGGUACCUACCUUGAGGUGAGGAAUACCACCGAGAAAUCGGUGACAAGACCGCAUACGCUUGGCAACAAGCAAAGUCUCGCAAGAGACGCCACAAGAUGGGCCUGCGCCUGAUUAGCUAGUUGGUGAGGUAAUGGCNCACCAAGGCGACGAUCAGUAGCUGGUCUGAGAGGAUGAUCAGCCACACUGGGAUUGAGAACGGCCCAGACUCCUACGGGGGC
rnacentral:rRNA from 1 species